GUGGCUGCCGGGCUGUCGUCGAAUUGGUUCAGAGGCCGUCGCUGUUUUGGUUCAGCCGCCCUUUCUUCGUUUCGAGUUGUUGAGGCUGUUGCGAAAGUGACUUGGAGCCGAGGUUUUGGUUGCCGGUGAUUUCGAGUUGAGGAAGAAAGAACUUAUGAGGCGUUGGGGUUAUGGAUUUACGUUUUGAGGAUAUGGGCGCAGAAGUCACGAAGAGUUUAUUUAUUUGUUAUUGAGAUGCUUUGUAUUACUUUAGAUUAUUAUUUUUGUACCCUCGCCUUUAUUUCGAUAUAUUCUGUAAGAGGGAUAGGAUUUGUAUUGGAUACUGUUUGUAAUA